rnacentral:rRNA from 1 species
UACAGAGGGUGCAAGCGUUAAUCGGAAUUACUGGGCGUAAAGCGCGCGCAGGCGGCCCUGUGCGCUGCCGGUGAAAGCUCCCGGCUUACCUGGGAGAGGUUCGGCAGGACGGCAGGGCUGGAGGGUGGGAGAGGUCGGUGGAAUUCCCGGUGUAGUGGUGAAAUGCGUAGAGAUCGGGAGGAACACCCGUAGCGAAGGCGGCCGACUGGACCACACCUGACGCUGAGGCGCGAAGGCCAGGGGAGCGAACGGG